UAGGCUGACAGCACAGAGACAGUCAAGCUGCAUCCGACUCCGGCAGAUCAACGGGCUCCGGACAGACUAGUACAGGGUUGUGAUGCAGAGGAGGAAGGGCCUGCGGUGGGUGACAGAGGCCGGGAGAGCGGGGUUGAACAGGACAGUAAGAUAUGAAGAAUGAUACCAGGGGGUGGGGCUGCUGCAGCUCUGCAAAAUAAAACGACCUUCUUCAGCCUCCGACUGGUUAAAGUCACAACAUUUGUUGUGUUAACAGGAAAAAACCUUCAGUGUCAAAUCAGACUGAGUUUCUAGAGAAGACCGCGUUGUUGAGCCAACAUCUAAACCAAUCAGCUCCCAGCUCCGGUGAGAACCAGGUGUCUCCCAUCGUGGUUCGGACCAGCAGCUUCAGUAGUUAAUCACUGGUUUAACGCACCGCCCGGCGAUCGCGCCAGGGGACGCAAAUCACACACCCCAGCAACCACCGUGUGUUGCUGGCCAGCAGGUGCGUGAUGGCGCGGGGCUGCCGGUGGACCCAGCAGUCGGGUCGCGGUUCACCGAGGGGCUCCUGCCUCCGUUUCUGCUGUUCCCGACGGGCACAGUUGUGACUGCGGAGCCUGGUUCAGCUCAGCGUCUGGUUUUACACCCGAGGGAGGCCGCGGAGGACCCGCGCGUUCGGACAGUCAUCUCAGCCUGACGUGCAGAGCUAAACCGUCUCCACCCAGAGACAGUUUGACUGUGGACUGGUGGACAUCUAAACGCUUUGACGGGACUCCGUAAACCUUUCCAGCUUCAUGGAAAUAAACAACUCUAGAUCGUGGCUUGGAGCUUUUAAAACUGAGGAGCAGUGGUGACGGAAAUCCACUGCUCACUUCCACGUUGUUGGGGUUUUCGUCCGUCAGCGACUCUGCCGCUCGGACACGACGUCCUGCAGCCGCUUCAGCAGCACGUCGGGACUGCUGCCGUUCUCCGGGCACGCCCUCUUGCUGGGGGAGUCGCACAUGGCUGAGGACAUCAUCACGUCCCCCUCCAUGGUGAAGGCCCUCUUCCUGCUCACACAGCCCUGUCUGAUCAUCCGGUUGAUGUCCGAUAACUCCUGGAGGGAGCAGCACAAGCUGACACUCCUACCUUCCUGAAGAACAGAGCGAGUGAUCCGGUGCGUCGCGGCCGGCCGAUUCCUGUCUGGGGGUCAGAGGUCGUGGGUGCGGAGAUGACUCGGCUCGGGGAGGCGGUGAGCAGAAACUGAGCGGUGACGGCGCCGGAGGAGUCGCACGGCUGAACCGGGAUCAGUGCAAUAGCGCGCCAUUUAUUCCGUGAAAUGAUCGGGGAGCUGAUAAGCUUUUGAAAGUGGGAUACUGAGAACGGUGGUCUGGGCACCCUGGGCUCCAAUCUUCAGGGUGCUGCUCGAGCCGAACGUCAGCCUCUUGGCCGGAGACGACAACGGGCUCACGCCAGGGUUCAGCCCUGAUGUCGGGGCCGGAGGGUCGUCGCCGAAAAGACGCCGUUUGGCGCUGCCGGCCGCAGGAGAGCUGUACCUGUCGUGGACCGACAGGGGAGAGGGAGGCACAUCUGGAAGAAGGGCAGCCGUUUGGUCUCCUGAACCAAGACGUUCUCCAGGAUCUUGUAGUAAAGGAUCUCUGCCAGCUUCAGACGGUUCUCUGCAAAGUCUGAGACAAAAGACACCAGUUGUGUUUUAUACUGCGGGGCUGCUAAUGUUCCUUUAAGUCAAGGAUCCCGAAACGCGUGAAGCUGUUUGAAAUUAUUCUGUCCCACGUUAUCCCACCUGAGGCAACAAGGAAUGAUAGACAUUACUUCAUUCAAAAUGUACACUCAGUUGUCAGUUUAUUAGGAACACCUAGACUUGCAUUGCCUUAUAUGGACAGAUACUGUUAUUAUUUUAUCUACCUCAUUUAUAUCAAUGAGGAGAGGCUGUGUGUGUGUGUGGUACCUAUGUGAGACCCAGGUGUGUCCUCUGAGUCGUUGGUGUAAUGUUCUUUGAAGAGUUGUCCCAGGGUUUUUACUCUGGCCAGUAUGGACUCUGUGGGAUUUCUGGAGCACGACCUUUAACAGCAGCAGAGGAUCCACUGUUAGAACGCAGCGUCCGUUAUAUACAGUCUGCCCUAAACCCUGUGUGUUACUAACUUAACAGCUAAAAUUCCAAAAUAAUCACAAAGAAAAAAUCAUCUAAUGAGAGGAAACAAAUAGUUUUUAAAACAACUUUCCUUAGUAAACCUUCGUGACAUUUGUUAAGUACCUAUGAUGUAAAUUCUUCGCAUCUUCUUAUUUGUUUAUUUAUAGAAUUUACUGCAUACGAGAAUGAAAUGUGACCCGUUCAGAGGAUUUAAUAAUUCACCUUUGCCUUUUUUGAUCUUUUUCCGGUUUGAUAGAUUUAAUAUAUUUUUUCAAGACUUUUUAAAGUACUGUACAUUGUAACUGAAUUAUUAAUCCGCUCGGUGAGAAUGUAUUUAAACAAUCCCUUGAUAUGUGUGAGAAAUAAUGAUAGAUGACUUUCACAGGUUUGUAUAGUCUCUAAAGUCACAUAUUAAAAUUGUUCAACUUAUCAAAGCAAGUAAAUCAUCACAUUUAAGAAGAUGUGAUCAAACGGACGAGAUGCAGAAAGACA